rnacentral:rRNA from 1 species
UACGUAGGAUCCAAGCGUUGCCCGGAUUUACUGGGUGUAAAGGGUGCGCAGGCGGACUUGUUAGUCAGGGGUGAAAUCUCACAGCUUAACUGUGAAACUGCCUUUGAUACUGCAAGUCUUGAAUUGGGGAGAGAGUUGUGGAAUUCCGAGUGUAGCAGUGAAAUGUGUAGAUAUUCGGAAGAACACCAGUGGCGAAGGCAGCAACUUGGCCCCAGAUUGACGCUCAGGCACGAAAGCAUGGGGAUCAAACAGG